rnacentral:miRNA from 1 species
UAGCAGCAAAGACAGUAUUGGA